rnacentral:rRNA from 1 species
GUCUACAGUCAUGCCACCCCGAAUGUGCCCGAUCUUAUCUGAUCUCGGAAGCUAAGCAGGGUUGGGCCUGGUUAGUACUUGGAUGAGAGACCACCUAGGAAGACCAGGUGCUGUAGGCA